CCCUUAGAUGUUCUGGGCCGCACGCGCGCUACACUGAUGCAUUCAACGAGUCUAAAACCUGGUCUGAUAGGACUGGGUAAUCUUUUGAAAGUGCAUCGUGAUUGGGAUAGAUGAUUGCAAUUCUUCAUCUUCAACGAGGAAUGCCUAGUAAACGCAAGUCAUCAGCUUGCAUUGAUUACGUCCCUGCCCUUUGUACACACCGCCCGUCGCUCCUACCGAUUGAAUGAUCCGAUGAAUACCAUGGAUUGAGAGUACGAAUGGGUUCGCUCAUUUCUGCUGCUCGAGAAGUGGAGUAAAUCUUAUCAUUUAGAGGAAGGAGAAGUCGUAACA
rnacentral:rRNA from 1 species